rnacentral:tRNA from 1 species
GCUCGCGUCGUUCAAUGGAUAGGACAACAGCCUUCGAAGCUGUCUAUGUGGGUUCGAUUCCUGCCGCGAGCA